AGAAUGCGCCAAUGUCCAAUGUUCAUUUCCCAUGCUUGGCGCAAUUCCAGCAUUAAUUAUUUGCAACCUCUGAAAGCUCUUGAUUUAAUGUCUAAGCCAACUAUUUAACUGCGCUGAACUUGGAGCAGGAUUACAUAUGGUAGGAGAUUAAAGUUGUUAACAGCUGCCAGUUUACGUUGAAUGUCAAGCGCUAUUUGCAAAAGGUUGAGUAAAUUUAUGAAAAAUCAACAAUAAGAGGAACAACAAUAUUUCCCAAGGCUAUCAAAUGCCAACGGCUGGCAACUAAUAAAACGUGCGCUAAA